UACAGAGGUGGCAAGCGUUGUUCGGAAUUACUGGGCGUAAAGGGCGCGUAGGCGGCUUGGUCAGUCCCGUGUGAAAUCCCUCGGCUCAACUGAGGAACUGCACGGGAAACUGCCUGGCUUGAGUUCGGGAGAGGGAAGCGGAAUUCCGGGUGUAGCGGUGAAAUGCGUAGAUAUCCGGAGGAACACCGGUGGCGAAGGCGGCU
rnacentral:rRNA from 1 species